GCAGGAAACAAAGCCACGAGACCAAUGGCCCCCAGUGGUGAGACUAUACUGCACAGAAGACCUAUGUUGAUAAUGAAGACCGUGAUGGGAUUCUGAUCCAGGAUGCUUCUUAAACAAUUAGGUCUAAACAAUAUGGAAACUACAUCGAACGUGAACAUUAAGGACGUUGUAAUCUAAAUGUUGAGUAAAGUAAAGAAACAGGGUAAUUUACAAUUAAAAGUUAAUCUUCUGAAUAAAUAUUCUUGCCACGUGCAUUUGGGAAAGGUAGUUGUACUUUUUAAAAUAGGACCGCAUGUCCAGAUUAUAUUUUAUAAGGGCAUGGGAAGAUCUCAUCCGAGUGUAAGCAAAGGAGAGUAGCCAAGACAUCCCUUAAUCAAAGAGAGACUGGAGCAAGUAUAGUGUAUGUGGAGAGCUGACAGAUGAAAUCAGUGUGGGUAAAGUAGACUACAUGUAUUAAGGAGCAAUGGAAAAUCUAUAUAGGUCAUGUAGUCCCAGACUUGGCUAUGCGGCUGAAGAACUUGAAAUUGAUAGGUCAAGAGGACAUUAUAGUUUCUGUAAUGGGCAGAUACGGGUGGGUGACACAGUGGGAGGGAGAUGUUUUAGGAAGCCAUGCAAGUUAGGCUUGGGCAAAGAUGAGCUGAUUUCUGCAUAUUGGACAAGGCUAAAUCCAUAAUUCUGGCAUGUUGUCAUAAAGGUCUGACAAUAAUGGGAUAUUUGAAAAGGAAAAGAAAGGGUAAAUUUGAGAAACAUUAAGAAAAAAACCAAGUCCCUGACAGACUGAAUAUAGAAGAAUAAGACAAACAUAGCACAUAUAACUCCACCAAUCCUUUAUACAUAGAAAGCUUAUAAAAUACUACUGGAAAACUGGGAGAAGUAGAGAGGCUGAGAAAUGGGGCCCUGCACAGGGGUGGGGGUGCAUCCAGAUUUAUUUUUCAUAUUGACUAUAUGAUUCAAAGCAGAAACUAUUGGCACUUAGCACUGGUUUUAGCAUUAAAGAAACAACCUAGUCCCGGGGAGCUUUCACUGUAUUUGGGCAAGAAUGCAGGGCAGACCGUGGUAUGAAACAAACACAAAGAAAAUGAAAUGUAAACACCUUGAUAAUGAAUAAAUGAUAUUUUUACCACUGAGAGGACUGAAAAAAAGGAAUAACACAGGAAGUGGGGGCAGUGGAUUAAAAUGUCACAACUGGGAAGCAGGAUGCUGAACCUUGCGUUAUGCGUUGAGAGAUUGGAGAUAGAGGAAGAGGAGCUGAGUGGGAGCCAGACGCUGCGGGAAUCUGCUGAUCGGCGGGAAUGUGGGCCUGUGGCUGGAGACGCUGCAAAAGUAAAAGUGAUAUUAAGUGACAACAACAAGGGCCUGCCUUAGAGGGAUGUUUGCAACAUGAGGCAAACUGAAAGCAAUAUUUCCUGCUUUCUAAAAUAAACGUUAUAGUGAACU